UAAAAAAAGUUAAUUAUUUAAUUUUCUCGAAUUAAAAAGAGCUAUGAUUAUAUAAAUUUAAAUGUUGCAUAAUUUUUUAUAAUAUAAUUAUGGUAGUGAAACGUUAGUCGUUUUUUAAGAUAUCUAGUUUCUUAAGAAAUAAAUUUAAUUUAAUUUUUUAAUUACUUAUUAUUAAUUAUUUAGUAAUGUGUAUUAAGAAUUAAAUAUUUUAAGGGAUAAGCUUUAAAAUAAAUUAUUAAAAAUGUAUUUUAUAUUUGUAUAAGAUAGGUAGGAUUGGAAAUUUUUAUCUAUAGUUUGUUAUAAUUAAUCUUAUAUUAAAUAAGAUUUAUAUUAAUUUUAAUUUUUUUAUUAAGAAUAUUUAUAUAAUUAUAUAUUAUAUGGAAUAAUGAUAGAAUUAGUAUAGUUUUAUGUAUAUUAUAAUUUAAUAUAAAGGUUGAAUUAAGGAACUCGGCAAAUAUAUUUUUCGCCUGUUUAUUAAAAACAUGUCUUUUUGAUUAUAAUUUAAAGUCUAACCUGCCCAAUGAGGAGUUAAAUGGCCGCGGUAUUUUGACCGUGCAAAGGUAGCAUAAUCAUUAGUUUUUUAAUUGAAAGCUGGUAUGAAUGGUUGGACGAGAAAAUAACUGUCUCGAUUUAAAUUAAAUUAGAAUUUUAUUUAUGAGUAAAAAAGCUCAUAUGAGUUUAAAAGACGAGAAGACCCUAUAGAAUUUAAUAUAUAUAUAUAUAUAUUAUUUUUAGAAUUAAUAAUAAGUUAUAUAUAAUUAUAUUUUGUUGGGGUGAUAGAAAAAUUAAAUUAACUUUUUUUAUAUAAAAACAUUAAUGUAUGAAAAAAUGAUCCGUUGAUUACGAUUAUAAGAUUAAAUUACCUUAGGGAUAACAGCGUAAUUUUUUUUUAGAGUUCUUAUCGAAAAAAGAGUUUGCGACCUCGAUGUUGGAUUAAAAUUAACUUUUGGUGUAGGGGCUAAAAGGUUAGGUCUGUUCGA
rnacentral:rRNA from 1 species